UACGAAGGGGGCUAGCGUUGCUCGGAAUCACUGGGCUUAAAGGGCGCGUAGGCGGGUGCUCAAGUCUGUGGUGAAAUCCUCCGGCUCAACCGGAGAACUGCCAUGGAUACUGGGUGCCUCGAGGGUGAUAGGGGUAUGCGGAACUAUCGGUGGAGCGGUGAAAUGCGUUGAUAUCGAUAGGAACUCCGGUGGCGAAGGCGGCAUACUGGAUCACUUCUGACGCUGAGGCGCGAAAGCCAGGGGAGCGAACGGG
rnacentral:rRNA from 1 species